rnacentral:snoRNA from 1 species
GUGAUGUAGGUCUUUAGUUCAGAGAUGUGAAGACGAACCCACGAACUGA